rnacentral:lncRNA from 1 species
AUGCAGACACUCGCUGGUGCGAUGGAGGAGUUUUACAGAUAUUUCGGCAUCAGGAGCAAGUUGUUGAUGUGUUUCCUAAUUUUCUCAGCUGCAGAAGCAAACACCAUCGUGAAGGUCGCUGGCAGUGAAGUGAUGCUGCCCUGUUUGAAUCAGUCACUGAGCUCACUGACUCAACUCACAUGGAAGAUGAACAAUAUUGUCCUUUUCAGCCAUAGCCCAAAUAAACCCCUUUACACUUCUCCAAAGGCUUCGGCCCUGAACUUAAAGAUGUCUCGGUCAGAGGAUGAGCUGUACCGUCUGAUCAUAGAGAGAGCCGACAAGUCUCACACUGGGAACUACAGCUGUGAAACCGUCACAACAGCAGGAGUGUUGGAAAAGACGUGGGAGUUAAUAAUCACAGAUGAUGACAAAGCAGAGCAUCAGACAAUUCUGCUGAUUUUAGUGGCUGUUAUUGUUCCCUGUGUUUGUUGCCUGAUCUUUAUAUUAACUUCGACGAUCAUGCGAAGAUCCUGCAAACAUCAGGCAGAAAACUCUCCAAUGGCAGAGGAGAAGCAAACUGAGGAGAUUUAUGAAAACUGUCUGGACAUUUAUGAGAAUUAAUAAUGCUUCAGUUGUCAACACCACAAACACAGGGCUCAGUGCAAAGUGCUGUGACUUGAAUUCAAAAGGAAAGAGGACCGAUGAAACCACAGGAAGGAAGAAGAAACGCAUAGGAAGGAAACACAAACCACAAGCACUUUUCCUGGAAUGAUACAUGUUCAACUGUUGUUAUUUAAUAAAAAAAUGUUUUUAUAAUAACA